rnacentral:rRNA from 1 species
ACUCCUACGGGAGGCAGCAGUAGGGAAUCUUCCACAAUGGACGAAAGUCUGAUGGAGCAACGCCGCGUGAACGAUGAAGGCCUUCGGGUCGUAAAGUUCUGUUGUAAGGGAAGAACAAGUGCCGCAGGCAAUGGCGGCACCUUGACGGUACCUUGCGAGAAAGCCACGGCUAACUACGUGCCAGCAGCCGCGGUAAUACGUAGGUGGCAAGCGUUGUCCGGAAUUAUUGGGCGUAAAGCGCGCGCAGGCGGCCUCUUAAGUCUGAUGUGAAAGCCCCGGCUCAACCGGGGGAGGGCCAUUGGAAACUGGGAGGCUUGAGUAUAGGAGAGAAGAGUGGAAUUCCACGUGUAGCGGUGAAAUGCGUAGAGAUGUGGAGGAACACCAGUGGCGAAGGCGACUCUUUGGCCUAUAACUGACGCUGAGGCGCGAAAGCGUGGGGAGC